GACGAACGCUGGCGGCGUGCUUAACACAUGCAAAUCGAACGGAAAGGCCCUGCUUUUGUGGGGUGCUCGAGUGGCGAACGGGUGAGUAACACAUGAGUAACCUGCCCUUGACUUUGGGAUAACUUCAGGAAACUGGGGCUAAUACCGGAUAGGAGCUCCUGCUGCAUGGUGGGGGUUGGAAAGUUUCGGCGGUUGGGGAUGGACUCGCGGCUUAUCAGCUUGUUGGUGGGGUAGUGGCUUACCAAGGCUUUGACGGGUAGCCGGCCUGAGAGGGUGACCGGCCACAUUGGGACUGAGAUACGGCCCAGACUCCUACGGGAGGCAGCAGUGGGGAAUAUUGCACAAUGGGCGGAAGCCUGAUGCAGCAACGCCGCGUGCGGGAUGACGGCCUUCGGGUUGUAAACCGCUUUCGCCUGUGACGAAGCGUGAGUGACGGUAAUGGGUAAAGAAGCACCGGCUAACUACGUG
rnacentral:rRNA from 1 species